rnacentral:miRNA from 1 species
UACAGUUGGGAGGGAGGGGUGAUAGUGUGGAAGAAGGGGGAUACUGGGAGGGAUGAAGGCACUGGCGUACAUACCCUUUCCCUCUCAGUAUUCCCCUCCCUCACAAUUUCCCUCCCUCCCUCCCAGUAUCCCCCCUCUUUCACACUAUCAUUUCCCUCCCUCCUAGUA